UACAGAGGUCUCAAGCGUUGUUCGGAUUCAUUGGGCGUAAAGGGUGCGUAGGUGGUUGUUUAAGUCUGUUGUGAAAGCCCCGGGCUCAACCUGGGAAUGGCAAUGGAUACUGGACAGCUAGAGGGCGGUAGAGGGUAGUGGAAUUCCCGGUGUAGCAGUGAAAUGCGUAGAGAUCGGGAGGAACACCAGUGGCGAAGGCGGCUACGUGGACCAGCACUGACACUGAAGCACGAAAGCGUGGGGAGCAAACAGG
rnacentral:rRNA from 1 species